CCUACGGGUGGCAGCAGUGGGGAAUAUUGCACAAUGGGCGCAAGCCUGAUGCAGCAACGCCGCGUGAAGGAAGAAGGGUUUCGGCUUGUAAACUUCUUUCAUCAGGGACGAAAGAAAUGACGGUACCUGAAUAAGAAGCCGCGGCUAACUACGUGCCAGCAGCCGCGGUAAUACGUAGGGGGCAAGCGUUAUCCGGAAUUACUUGGUGUAAAGGGUGAGUAGGCGGCAAGGUAAGCCAGAUGUGAACGCCUUGGGCUUAACCCGAGGAUUGCAUUUGGAACUGUUAAGCUUGAGUCCAGGAGAGGAAAGCGGAAUUCCUAGUGUAGCGGUGAAAUGCGUAGAUAUUAGGAAGAACACCAGUGGCGAAGGCGGCUUUCUGGACUGAAACUGACGCUGAGGCGCGAAAGCGUGGGGAGCGAACAGGAUUAGAUACCCCAGUAGUC
rnacentral:rRNA from 1 species